rnacentral:lncRNA from 1 species
GUGUUGAUUUGGGGUGGAGAGUUCUGUAGAUGUCUAUUAGGUCCGCUUGGUGCAGAGCUGAGUUCAAUUCCUGGAUAUCCUUGUUAACUUUCUGUCUCGUUGAUCUGUCUAAUGUUGACAGUGGGGUGUUAAAGCCUCCCAUUAUUAUUGUGUGGGAGUCUAAGUCUCUUUGUAGGUCACUCAGGACUUGCUUUAUGAAUCUGGGUUCCUGUGUUGGGUGCAUA